rnacentral:rRNA from 1 species
AGUGAACGCUGGCGGUAGGCCUAACACAUGCAAGUCGAACGGCAGCACAGUAAGAGCUUGCUCUUACGGGUGGCGAGUGGCGGACGGGUGAGGAGUACAUCGGAAUCUACUUUUUCGUGGGGGAUAACGUAGGGAAACUUACGCUAAUACCGCAUACGACCUACGGGUGAAAGCAGGGGAUCUUCGGACCUUGCGCGAUUGAAUGAGCCGAUGUCGGAUUAGCUAGUUGGCGGGGUAAAGGCCCACCAAGGCGACGAUCCGUAGCUGGUCUGAGAGGAUGAUCAGCCACACUGGAACUGAGACACGGUCCAGACUCCUACGGGAGGCAGCAGUGGGGAAUAUUGGACAAUGGGCGCAAGCCUGAUCCAGCCAUACCGCGUGGGUGAAGAAGGCCUUCGGGUUGUAAAGCCCUUUUGUUGGGAAAGAAAAGCAGCAGGUUAAUACCCCGCUGUUCUGACGGUACCAAAAGAAUAAGCACCGGCUAACUUCGUG